rnacentral:lncRNA from 1 species
UUUGCUUGAUGAUUCCUCACAUGGCAUCCGUGUCAUCUCUGUCGAUAGAUGACACCAUGCAAUCAUUUUUGUACUUUAUUUUUCAUGGGAGCAGGACGAUCAGAGGAUGAGGGAGUCCACGUAAUGGGGAGCGUGCACUUGCGCAAAAAAACAAAUGGUUAGGCGCACGACGCCCCAACUCCUACACGAAAGGAAGCCGUUCCGAGUCACGGCCGAUGCAGCUGCCCACGGCAAGCCACCCAAACGGAAAAAAUGUCGGCGUCACAGGACAAAUGCGAUCGUUCGAUUUAUGGCAAACCCAC